rnacentral:lncRNA from 1 species
CUCACUUAGAAUCCUUAUAGUAACUAGUUUAAAAAGUUGAAAGACCGAUGCUUCACUGCACUGAAAUGUUACUCAUUUGGAAUCUUCAAGACUCUGUAAUUGCUGUUUUCAAAUACUGUGAUGAAAUAUGGCCUAGAAUCCUGGCUCAUCAGGGUACAUAAAGGAAUUCGGCCACUAUUAGCAGGAUCUUCCACAUCCCAAAUUUCAGGCAUACUGCAACCAGGCUUCUUUCUGCUUACGCACAACGACUCUUCUAGAAUGUAGUAAUUCACUCCUAAUUUUAUUAAUUCUUUUUUCACUUCCUUUGCAGGUUUUCGACUGUACAUGGAAUAUACUAUUUUAGUUCUGGCCCUUAAUCCUGCAUCUUCAUAGUGUGGAUGGUUUACAACAGGACGGAGUGCAGACAAUUUAACACUUGCCAUUGUAGGCAUUGCUCCUG